CCCUUAGAUGUUCUGGGCCGCACGCGUGCUACACUGAGUAAUUCAAUGGGUAAGGGAACGCUAGAGCAUUACCUAAUCUUGAAAUUUGCUCGUGAUGGGGAUCGACGGUUGCAAUUUUCCGUCGUGAACGAGGAAUACCUUGUAGGCGCAUGUCAUCAUCAUGCGCCGAAUACGUCCCUGCCCUUUGUACACACCGCCCGUCGCUCCUACCGAUUGAGUGAUCCGGUGAGGCUCUGGGACCUGAACGGAAAGAGCGUUUCGCUUGUUCUGUUUGGGAAACUUGGUCGAACCUUAUCAUUUAGAGGAAGGAGAAGUCGUAACA
rnacentral:rRNA from 1 species